CGGACGGGUGAGUAACGCGUGAGAAUCUAGCUCUAGGUCGGGGACAACCACUGGAAACGGUGGCUAAUACCGGAUGUGCCGAAAGGUGAAAGAUUUAUUGCCUAGAGAUGAGCUCGCGUCUGAUUAGCUAGUAGGUGUGGUAAGAGCGCACCUAGGCGACGAUCAGUAGCUGGUCUGAGAGGAUGAUCAGCCACACUGGGACUGAGACACGGCCCAGACUCCUACGGGAGGCAGCAGUGGGGAAUUUUCCGCAAUGGGCGAAAGCCUGACGGAGCAAUACCGCGUGAGGGAGGAAGGCUCUUGGGUUGUAAACCUCUUUUCUCAGGGAAUAAAAAAAUGAAGGUACCUGAGGAAUAAGCAUCGGCUAACUCCGUGCCAGCAGCCGCGGUAAUACGGAGGAUGCAAGCGUUAUCCGGAAUGAUUGGGCGUAAAGGGUCCGCAGGUGGCAAUGUAAGUCUGCUGUUAAAGAAUGAGGCUCAACCUCAUACCAGCAGUGGAAACUACAUAGCUAGAGUGCGUUCGGGGUAGAGGGAAUUCCUGGUGUAGCGGUGAAAUGCGUAGAUAUCAGGAAGAACACCAGUGGCGAAGGCGCUCUACUAGGCCGCAACUGACACUGAGGGACGAAAGCUAGGGGAGCGAAUGGGAUUAGAUACCCCAG
rnacentral:rRNA from 1 species